rnacentral:rRNA from 1 species
CACGAACGCUGGCGGCGUGCCUAAUACAUGCAAGUCGAGCGCAGGAAACUGACGGAACUCUUCGGAGGGAAGGCAGUGGAAUGAGCGGCGGACGGGUGAGUAACACGUAAGGAACCUGCCUCAAGGAUUGGGAUAACUCCGAGAAAUCGGAGCUAAUACCGGAUAGUUCAACGGACCGCAUGGUCCGCUGAUGAAAGGCGCUCCGGCGUCACCUUGAGAUGGCCUUGCGGUGCAUUAGCUAGUUGGUGGGGUAACGGCCCACCAAGGCGACGAUGCAUAGCCGACCUGAGAGGGUGAGCGGCCACACUGGGACUGAGACACGGCCCAGACUCCUACGGGAGGCAGCAGUAGGGAAUCUUCCACAAGGGACGAAAGUCUGAUGGAGCAACGCCGCGUGAGUGAUGAAGGUUUUCGGAUCGUAAAACUCUGUUGUAAGGGAAGAACACGUACGAGAGGAAAUGCUCGUACCUUGACGGUACCUUACGAGAAAGCCACGGCUAACUACGUGCCAGCCGCCGCUGUAAAAC